AAUACGGAGGGGGCGAGCGUUAUUCGGAAUUACUGGGCGUAAAGCGCGCGCAGGUGGCGUGGCAAGUGGCAGGUGAAAGCCCUCGGCUCAACCGAGGAAUUGCCUGCCAAACUAGUUUGCUUGAGGCCGGGAGGGGGAAGCGGAAUUCCUGGUGUAGCGGUGAAAUGCGUAGAUACCAGGAGGAACACCGGUGGCGAAGGCGGCUUCCUGGACCGGUUCUGACACUCAUGCGCGAAAGCGUGGGGAGCAAACAGGAUUAGAUACCCUGGUAGUCCACGCCCUAAACGAUGGGCACUAGGCGUCGCGGGUGUCGACCCCUGCGGUGCCGUAGCUAACGCGUUAAGUGCCGUUUCUGGGGAGUACGGUCGCAAGGCU
rnacentral:rRNA from 1 species